rnacentral:rRNA from 1 species
CAAUAGCGUAUAUUUAAGUUGUUGCAGUUAAAAAGCUCGUAGUUGGAUUUCGGGUGGGACGCAGCGGUCUCGCAUUGCGUUUGUACUGCUGCAGCCCUCCUUCUUGCCGGGGGCGGCCUCUCGGACUUCACUGUCUGGGGGUCAGAAUCGGCGAUGUUACUUUGAGUAAAUUAGAGUGUUCAAAGCAAGCUUAUGCUCUGAAUAUAAUAGCAUGGGAUAACACGACAGGACUCUGGCCUAUCGUGUUGGUCUAUAGGACCAGAGUAAUGAUUAAGAGGGACAGUCGGGGGCAUUCGUAUUCCGUUGUCAGAGGUGAAAUUCUUGGAUUUACGGAAGACGAACAUCUGCGAAAGCAUUUGCCAAGGAUGUUUUCAUUG